rnacentral:lncRNA from 1 species
UUUUGCAUUUUUUUUUUAUUAAAUUUCCUGUUUACAAAACUUUGAUUUUUUGAAAAACUAAGGAUUUUCUUAUCCAAGGCAUAGAUUACCUUAGCCGCAUUUGGCACAACUUUUUGGAAAUUUGGAUCCUCAAUGCUCUUCAACUUUUUACUUGUUUGGCUUUAUAAAGAUUUUGAUAUGAGCGUCACUGAUGAGUCUUAUGUAGACGAAACGCGCGUCUGGCGUACUAAAUUAUAAUCCUGGUACCUUUGAUAACUAUUUACUUGCAUAUGGAUAUUACAAUGACAUUUACCAAACCCUAUAUUAUCGUAUUUGCCCCAUCAAAGAACACUUCAGGCAUGAAGCUGGUAUAUUUUGAGAGGAUAACAAUGUAUAGAAAAAAGUGAAAUCACACAAAUACUGAACUUAGAGGAAAAUCAAUACGGGAAGUCCAUAAUCACAUGGCAAAAUCAAAUAAUAAAACGCAUCAAAAACGAAUGGACAAGAACUGUCAUAUUCCGGACUUGGUACAGGCAUUUUCAAAUGUAGAAAAUGGUGGAUUAAACCUGGUUUUAUAGCGCUAGCCACUCUCACUUUGAUGACAGUUUCAUCAUAUUCCGUUAUAAUUACAUUGAUGCGUUAACUAAAAAGACACAAUAGAAGAGCAACAAAUAGCGAAACUAUUCCUUUGAAUGUCCACAUGCUAGAUAACGUCAUUAUGCGAUUUCACAAGAACAAUUGGUGGAAGUAAAAAAAAAAUCGCACAAGAUAUAACUGCUUGCAUAGAUAUCACAGUAGAAACAUCCUCCUCUAAAGCUCGAAACUUAUGUUAAGACAACAUUCAACAAAUUACAUGUAAUUUAUUUUGUAUUAACAAUAGCCAAUAUCUAGAAGAAUUCAAUAAAAGUAGUGGCAGUGUUGGUAACGGAAACAGAAAUGGAAGUCCCACAUCAAAAUGGUCUUCGAUUAUAUGUGCCUGCUACCAAACAGAAGACCUUAAGUAGAAGACAGAAAAAAACACCUUCACCAAAAGAAAAGUAAGUGCCCAGUAUAAUUUCGUUUGAUUAAUGAUAAGUUUUAAAAGGCCAAAUCAAGUACGAAGUUGAAGAGCAUAGAACCAUUUUCACAAAAUGGUCCAUCUCUUUUCAACCAUACUCUUUGCUGCGUCAAUACUUUUACAAAAUGAACAUUUCGUAAUACACUAGACUACAGUAGGAGUCAUAAUCAUUACGCUUGUUAAAGAGAUUUUACACUAAUACCCCCUUCACAUACACGAAUGUGUCUUACGAUUCCUUACGAAUGUUGUUUGUUUUAAUAAAUAUAUAUAUAUAUUAGUCAAAUGCAAGCAUUCGCAAGCAAUCGUAAACCACUCGCAAGCAAUCGUAAAUCACUCGCAAGCAAUCGUAAACCACUCUUAAACAAAUCGUAGACAUUCGCAGACAAUCG